GUACUGUGCGAACGUUAUUCGGAAUCACUGGGCUUAAAGGGUGCGUAGGCGGCUGGAUAAGUAGGGUGUGAAAUCCCUCGGCUCAACCGAGGAACUGCGCUCUAAACUGUCCGGCUUGAGUGAGAUAGGGGUGUGCGGAACUUCCAGUGGAGCGGUGAAAUGUGUUGAUAUUGGAAGGAACGCCGGUGGCGAAAGCGGCACACUGGGUCUCAACUGACGCUGAGGCACGAAAGCCAGGGUAGCGAACGGGGGAUUAGAUACCCCGGUAGUCCUGGCCGUAAACGUUGAGCACUAGUUGGGAGGGGUUUCGGCCCUCUUCGAACGUAGCGAAAGCAUUAAGUGCUCCGCCUGGGGAGUAUGGUCGCAAGGCUG
rnacentral:rRNA from 1 species